rnacentral:rRNA from 1 species
CAGCACCUCAAGUGAUCAGGAUGAUUAUUGGGCCUAAAGCAUCCGUAGCCGGCGCUGUAAGUUUUCGGUUAAAUCUGUACGCUCAACGUACAGGCUGCCGGGAAUACUGCAGAGCUAGGGAGUGGGAGAGGUAGACGGUACUCGGUAGGAAGGGGUAAAAUCCUUUGAUCUAUUGAUGACCACCUGUGGCGGAGGCGGUCUACCAGAACACGUCCGACGGUGAGGGAUGAAAGCUGGGGGAGCAAACCGGAUUAGAUACCCGCGUAGUCC